rnacentral:tRNA from 1 species
AGGUCAGUAGCUCCAAUGGUAGAGCGUCGGUCUCCAAAACCGAAUGCUGGGGGUUCGAGUCCCUCCUGACCUGCCA